AGCUCCAAAAGUGUAUAUUUAAGUUGUUGCGGUUAAAAAGCUCGUAGUUGGAUUUUGGGCUCGGGCCGUCGGUCCGUCGCAAGGCGUGUACUGGCGCGCCCGGCCUCACCUUCGGUUCACCGUCGGUGCUCUUGACUGAGUGUUGGCGGCGGCCGGAACGUUUACUUUGAAAAAAUUAGAGUGUUCAAAGCAGGCGGUUCGCCUGAAUAAUGGUGCAUGGAAUAAUGGAAUAGGACCUCGGUUCUAUUUUGUUGGUUUUCGGAGCGCGAGGUAAUGAUUAAGAGGGACGGACGGGGGCAUUCGUACUGUGCCGCUAGAGGUGAAAUUCUUGGAUCGGCGCAAGACGAACAACUGCGAAAGCAUUUGCCAAGAAUGUUUUCUUUAAUCAAGAACGAAAGUA
rnacentral:rRNA from 1 species